rnacentral:rRNA from 1 species
GUAGGUGGCAAGCGUUGUCCGGAAUUAUUGGGCGUAAAGCGCGCGCAGGCGGGUCCUUUAAGUCUGAUGUGAAAGCCCACGGGCUCAACCGUGGAGGGUCAUUGGAAACUGGGGGACUUGAGUACAGAAGAGGAAAGCGGAAUUCCAAGUGUAGCGGUGAAAUGCGUAGAGAUUUGGAGGAACACCAGUGGCGAAGGCGGCUUUCUGGUCUGUAACUGACGCUGAGGCGCGAAAGCGUGGGGAGCAAACAGGAUUAGAUACCCUGGUAGUCCACGCCGUAAACGAUGAGUGCUAAGUGUUAGGGGGUUUCCGCCCCUUAGUGCUGCAGCUAACGCACUAAGCACUCCGCCUGGGGAGUACGGCCGCAAAGGCUG